UUAAAAUCCUCCCACCAACCUGCCAAAUCACAGGAUGGAGUUACUCAGUGUCUCCUUUCCAUUGAAUGUUUUGCCACAUGCAAACUUUCCUCUUCUGUCUCAGUGUACUGUGUUUUGCUAGGCUUACUUGCAAAGGUUAAAAGAAUGGAGUGUACUGGAGUCAGGAAAGCUCAGUGUCUGUUGGAGGUGAAGUCACCAGCAUUGCAUUUCUCCACCAGUCACAACUGAUAAGUUCAAAACCACAUCAGGGAGGCAACUACUAAGAAUAGAAAGUACCAUCUCUGCCAUGAUAAAUCACCCCCAGGAAAACCAGCUUAUCCCAGCUCAGGGUGGCCACAAAACCAAC